rnacentral:rRNA from 1 species
AGAGUUUGAUCAUGGCUCAGAACGAACGCUGGCGGCAUGCCUAACACAUGCAAGUCGAACGCUUUCCGGUUUCGGCCGGGAGGAGUGGCGCACGGGUGAGUAACGCGUGGGAACCUGCCCUCUUGUGGGGGAUAACCGAGGGAAACUUCGGCUAAUACCGCAUACGCCCGCGGGCUUGACCCGCGGGGAAAGAUUUAUCG